GCUUGUCUCAAAGAUUAAGCCAUGCAUGUGUAAGUAUCAGAAGUCUGAACUUCAAAACUGCGAAUGGCUCAUUAUAUCAGUUAUAGUUUACUUGAUAGUACCUUACUACUUGGAUAACCGUAGUAAUUCUAGAGCUAAUACAUGCAUCAAGCCCCGACUUCUGGAAGGGGUGUAUUUAUUAGAUGGAAACCAAUGCGGGGCAACCCGGUAUAUGGUGAUUCAUAAUAACUUUCGGAUCGAUUUAUCGAUGCAUCAUUCAAGUUUCUGCCCUAUCAGCUUUGGAUGGUAGGGUAUUGGCCUACCAUGGCUUUAACGGGUAACGGAGAAUUAGGGUUCGAUUCCGGAGAGGGAGCCUGAGAAAUGGCUACCACAUCCAAGGAAGGCAGCAGG
rnacentral:rRNA from 1 species